rnacentral:lncRNA from 1 species
AUGGCUCUCUCUUCACUGUCAGGAUUUUCCUUCCCUACCAAAGUGAUUCCCUGCUUCACUGCAGAAAAAGCCUACUAUGGAGCUAAUUGCCUUGGAGACUGAUGUUAAAGGGCUAUCAAUUGUAACAUCUCUGGUUGUUACUCAUCUCUUCAGUAAUGUUCUUGGAGAGGCAUAAUCUGACAUUUGGACUGCACUUCUUUGAGAAUAAGUCAUCAUAUCUGAACUUACCAUUAAUUUUGUGAGAAGGAACUGUCUUAUAUUCUACACCCUGCAUUAAGACCUUCACAAACAAUCGCACCUCAAACCAGUAACUGGCUGCUGUAUCACACCAGAACUGUUCUGUGGAUGCGUCCUGCUACACACAAAACAUGCUUUACAAGCUCUGAGUUAACUUCCUUACUAUGACAUAAGGGUGUUGACAGGAAAAAUCUUCAGUGGUUACUUUAGAAAACUUCAUGGCUAUGCCAGAGUAGGCCCUUAUUACAGACUGUGGUUUUAUCCUGUCUUUGAAAAUGUUUGCUUUUAAGCUCAGAUGUAUCUCAUGAGAAAAUAUUUGCAUUUCUUUCAGUCAAGUAAGACCAUCAACUUAAGACACAUUUCUUUGUGUUUUUUUUUUGUUGUUUGUUUGUUUUUUCCUAAUAAAAAAAUCAUUUUCUGUUAAAAUAUAUGGUAACAUCUGAUUCUUGAGCAUGUAUUUUGGUCGUGUUCUAUUUCCAGUAUUAAAUAGAAUCAAAGACUAUGCAGUGAAUAAUCAAUUGGCUACAUUUUGCCUGAACUUUGCAGGAGGCUUUAGGAAUGUCAUCAAUCCACUGUAUUUUGAGAGACUGUGGGUCAAGUUCUCCACUGAUUUAUAUACUUCAGUACAUGAAAUCCAUUAAUACCAUUCAGAUUACGCAAUAUCACAUGGAGUAGAAUUUAGAUUUAUUAUACUCUUAGUUUCAAUUUGUCUAAUUAGCUUCUAGAGAAUUAAAACAUUUUAUGUGGAACCACUGAGUUUAAUUGGAUAAAUAAGCUUUUUUUUUUUUUUUUAAAUAAUAAGCUUUUUUUUCUUGUACACUCCCUAAGAAUGCCAGAGAAUCACACUGGUUUUGGAAAUACAGUAU